UAGUUAUAAGGACGACUUGUCGUCCUCAUAGCUCUCUAUGCCAAAAAUUAGAACAGCCCCUUCGUUUCAUUGAUGCAUGCUCAAUAGAUUAAUCAUCAGUCUCUCUCGAUCGAUCGAUCACAGAUUCUUCCCUUCUCCCAUGGCGACUUCCUCACCUCUCACUACCGUCAAAUCUUCUUCCCCUCUCCACAGAUCCUCAUGCUAGUUGCCAAAGAUUUGCUUCAACAUCGACGAUUCUAACUACAGGCUUCCUUUUCACCUCCGGUUACGAAUUCUAACAAUUACAAGUCCCACUCCAGCGACCUAGCUCUCACAGAAAUCAUCGACGGAGAGGAAUGUCGAACAUUGUCGUGAUAGGCCUUGCCGGAGCUGGCGGAGGUAUUGGGGAUUUAUUAUUAUUAGCAUGUUGUUCUAUCUUGUUGUGGUAGCAUUAGCAGGGUAAGGCAGCAGAUCCUAAUGGAGUUAUACUUUUGGAACCAAUGAACCAAUUCUUUAAAGGGGAAGAUGUAUAUGGAGGCUCUUACAAUGAAUUGGAGGCUUAUUUAUUUUUCAGUCGUGCUUGCCUUGAAUGGAUGCAGAAUCCAUUGACCAAAAUGCAGGUAACUGGAACACAACGUGAUGUCAUACAUGUCCAUGAAUGGCAAGACAGGUAUUCUUGUAAAUCCUGAUGGAGAAAAACAACAAUAUGAACACCUCUCUUAACAAUAUCCAAUUGUGAUCUCAUAUCGACACCUCCAAUACAAAGGUCCUUCCCCUGCUGCAAUUGGCAUCAUAAUCUCCUCCUGUAAUGCCAUCAUAAUCAAUGGAAACACAAACACCAAUGUUUUUCCAGACCCUGUAAAUGCUAUUCCAAUCAUGUCCCUUCCAGAUAGAAUCACGGGUAAUCCUUGAACUUGAAUAGGUGUUGGUUGUACUAUUCCUUUUUCUUUCAUUUUUUUCAAAACAGGAUCCAGGAAUCUCAUGUCUUUAAAGUUUUUGAUUGGUGGAGGGAUUUUAUCACCAUCAACAAUGAUAUGCCAUUGUUUUCAAUUACCAUCACAUGCUUUUUGAGACAUUCUUCUUAAAGAAGGCAUGGUGGAUGCAGGUGGCAGCUUGGUGGGAAAUUUUCAUGUGGCAUCUUGGGAAAUUUUCAACUCCUUGGAUGUCAAAUAUGACCUUGUUGUUUUUGGAGGGGUAUUUUAGGCAUUUGCUUAAAUCUUAGUGGCUACAACAGAGUAUUUAAGAGACUCUUCUACCUCACAGUUUGGUCUGUAUAAAUCUCAACAAGCAAAAAAUCUCCAAGCCCACAAAUUUAAACAAAGCAUACAAAACAAAGCAUACAAAUUUAAACAAGGAAAUAUGCAAUUAUGACAUACAUGCACACUAUCAAAUAGGAAAUACACCAUUAGCACUUGUCUGGAAGGAUGAGACUUGUAGUGAGUAUGUCAUUGAUACAGAUAACAAAGGACAAAUUCCAAAUCAACAGCAGGUGGUUUUGGAGAUAUAAGAAAAUAGGGAAUUGGUUACAUUUGAUGAUCCUCCUGUUGUACUUGGUUGCUUGAAUGCGGGUUUUACACAAGAGACAGCACUGAAUAUAGGGAACCUUGUAAGGUUUGCAGUUAGUGAGGGUGGAUUGACGUUUAUGAAUGGGAAGGUGGAAAAGGCUGAUUUGCAGUAUAUAGGAAAGGUACAUCGUCUAUAGAGACGACAUGUCAUCUCUAUAUGUGCAUCUAUAGAGACGACAUGUCAUCUCUACUAGAGCAUCUACCACAACGAACACCUGUUACUAAAGGGUAUGAUGUGUCGACUCUGCAUCUCUAUCUAUGGAGACGACAUGUUGUCUUUAUAGAUACACCUAUAGAGACGACAUGUCGUCUCUAUAGUUUCGUCUAUGGAUACCAGCACCGCAUAGCGACGAACCAGAACAAGACGACAUGUUGUCUCUAAAGGAUACCUAUUGCGACGAUAUUUAUAGCGACGACCAAAAGGAUCUAUUGCAACGGGGCUAUGGAGACGAAAGCUAUAGGGACGACAUGUCGCCCCUGACACCUAUAGUGACGACUUUUUUAAACUAUAGAGACGACAUUUUUCAUCCCUAUAGGUCCCGUUUGUUGUAGUGAAUGAAUAUUUAUGAUCAAGAACAACCCUGUAAGAUGAGUAGGGAGGGUACACAUAUUUUGACAUUAAAUAGCUUCUUGAUCUUACUAUAACUUAUUUCUUACUUUGUGGAUCAAUGAUUGCUUUCUUUUCUGUA